rnacentral:misc_RNA from 1 species
GAAAUGCGAUAAGUAAUGUGAAUUGCAGAAUUCAGUGAAUCAUCGAAUCUUUGAACGCACAUUGCGCCCCUCGGUAUUCCGACGGGCAUGCCUGUUCGAGCGUCAUUUCAACCCUCAAGCAUAGCUUGGUAUUGGGGACGGGCCUCUCAGGGCCCUCCCCGAAAAUUAGCGGCGGAUAGUUUGAAUUCCCAGCGUAGUGACAUAUAUUCUCGCUGAAAGGAUCUUCAAUCUUUUCUUGCCGGAUAACCAUUACUCUCCAUGGUUGACCUCGGAUCAGGUAGGGAUACCCGCUGAACUUAA